GAUGAAGAACGUAGCGAAAUGCGAUAAGUAAUGUGAAUUGCAGAAUUCAGUGAAUCAUCGAAUCUUUGAACGCACAUUGCGCCCCCUGGUAUUCGGGGGGGCAUGCCUGUUCGAGCGUCAUUUCACCACUCAAGCCUCGCUUGGUAUUGGGCAACGCGGUCCGCCGCGUGCCUCAAAUCGACCGGCUGGGUCUUCUGUCCCCUAAGCGUUGUGGAAACUUUCGCUAAAGGGUGUUCGGGAGGCUACGCCGUAAAACAACCCCAUUUCUAAGGUUGACCUCGGAUCAGGUAGGGAUACCCGCUGAACUUAAGCAUAUCAAUAAGCGGAGGA
rnacentral:misc_RNA from 1 species